UCCUGGUUAGCUCAGUUGAUAGAGCGCUCCUUUGGAAAUGGAGAAGUCCCUAUAGUUCGAAACCAGGAC
rnacentral:tRNA from 1 species